rnacentral:rRNA from 1 species
CCUACGGGGGGCUGUAGUGAGGAAUAUUGGUCAAUGGACGCAAGUCUGAACCAGCCAUGCCGCGUGCAGGAAGACGGCUCUAUGAGUUGUAAACUGCUUUUGUACGAGGGUAAACGCAGAUACGCGUAUCUGUCUGAAAGUAUCGUACGAAUAAGGAUCGGCUAAAUCCGUGCCAGCAGCCGCGGUAAUACGGAGGAUUCAAGCGUUAUCCGGAUUUAGUGGGUUUAAAGGGUGCGUAGGCGGUCGGAUAAGUUAGAGGUGAAAUCCCGAGGCUCAACUUCGGAAUUGCCUCUGAUACUGUUCGGCUAGAGAGUAGUAGCGGUAGGCGGAAUGUAUGGUGUAGCGGUGAAAUGCUUAGAGAUCAUACAGAACACCGAUUGCGAAGGCAGCUUACCAAGCUACUUCUGACGUUGAGGCACGAAAGCGUGGGGAGCAAACAGGAUUAGAUACCCGAGUAGUC